rnacentral:lncRNA from 1 species
GCGGCAAGGCAGGACAGUGCGGGGAAGAAGUGGUAAAUGUGAAUUGGCAGAAAGGAAGGAAGACACUGCAGACGGGAGCAGCCAUUGGAACAAAAAGAUAGAGGAAGGGGCAGGACAUACGUGUAUGGAAUAUAAUAACUAGAAUCACUAGACUGAAGCACAAGAAGGGACAAGGUUGGCCAGGUAAAGAAGGAGAGCCUUGAAAGAUGGGUUUGUGUUUCAGGGGUUUGCGUGUCAGUAAACAGGUUUAUGUUUACU